rnacentral:tRNA from 1 species
GGUCCUGUGGUGUAUAUCAUGUCGAAUUGCAAAUUUGAAGAAGCAGCUUCAACUCUGCCGGGACUU